rnacentral:rRNA from 1 species
UACACGACCGUACCGCAAACCGACACUGGUGCGCGAGAUGAGUAUUCUAAGGCGCUUGAGAGAACUCAGGAGAAGGAACUCGGCAAAUUGACACCGUAACUUCGGAAGAAGGUGUGCCUUUAGUAGGUGAAGGGAUUUACUCCUGGAGCCCAAUGAGGUUGCAAAAAAUCGGUGGCUGCGACUGUUUAUUAAAAACACAGCACUCUGCAAACACGAAAGUGGACGUAUAGGGUGUGACGCCUGCCCGGUGCUGGAAGAUUAAAUGAUGGGGUGCAAGCUCUUGAUUGAAGUCCCAGUAAACGGAGGCCGUAACAAUAACGGUCCUAAGGUAGCGAAAUUCCUUGUCGGGUAAGUUCCGACCUGCACGAAUGGCGUAACGAUGGCCACACUGUCUCCUCCUGAGACUCAGCGAAGUUGAAAUGUUUGUGAUGAUGCAAUCUCCCCGCGGAAAGACGGAAAGACCCCAUGAACCUUUACUGUAGCUUUGUAUUGGACUUUGAACAGAUCUGUGUAGGAUAGGUGGGAGGCUUUGAAGCAGGGUCGCUAGAUCUUGUGGAGCCAACGUUGAAAUACCACCCUGGUGUGUUUGAGGUUCUAACCUAGGCCCGUAAUCCGGGUUGGGGACAGUGCAUGGUAGGCAGUUUGACUGGGGCGGUCUCCUCCCAAAGUGUAACGGAGGAGUCCGAAGGUACGCUAGUUACGGUCGGACAUCGUGACGAUAGUGCAAUGGCAUAAGCGUGCUUAACUGCGAGACUGACAAGUCGAGCAGAUGCGAAAGCAGGACAUAGUGAUCCGGUGGUUCUGUAUGGAAGGGCCAUCGCUCAACGGAUAAAAGGUACUCUGGGGAUAACAGGCUGAUACCGCCCAAGAGUUCAUAUCGACGGCGGUGUUUGGCACCUCGAUGUCGGCUCAUCUCAUCCUGGGGCUGUAGCCGGUCCCAAGGGUAUGGCUGUUCGCCAUUUAAAGAGGUACGUGAGCUGGGUUUAAAACGUCGUGAGACAGUUUGGUCCCUAUCUUCCGUGGGCGCUGCAGAUUUGAGGAAGCCUGCUCCUAGUACGAGAGGACCGGAGUGGACGCACCUCUGGUGUAUCGGUUGUCACGCCAGUGGCAUUGCCGAGUAGCUAUGUGCGGAAGAGAUAACCGCUGAAAGCAUCUAAGCGGGAAACUCGUUUCAAGAUGAGAUCUGCCGGGGCCUUGAGCCCCCUGAAGAGUCGUUCAAGACCAGGACGUUGAUAGGUCGGGUGUGGAAGCGCAGUAAUGCGUUAAGCUAACCGAUACUAAUUGCUCGUGCGGCUUGACCCG